rnacentral:rRNA from 1 species
CGAGUCCGGCAAGCUACGGCUUGUCAGUGAUGGCGAUCAUACUUCCCAGAAAAGCCCGGACUAUCGUAAAUUCUAAAUACUUGUACCCGAAACCGACACAGGUGGGGAGGUUGAGAAAACUAAGGGGCGCGAGAUAACUCUCUCUAAGGAACUCGGUAAAAUGACCCCGUAACUUCGGGAGAAGGGGUGCCACCGCAAGGUGGUCGCAGUAAAGAGGCCCAGGCGACUGUUUACCAAAAACACAGGUCUCCGCCAAGUCGCAAGACGCAGUAUGGGGGCUGACGCCUGCCCAGUGCCGGAAGGUUAAGGAAGUUGGUCAGGAGUAAUCUAAAGCUGACGACUGAAGCCCCGGUGAACGGCGGCCGUAACUAUAACGGUCCUAAGGUAGCGAAAUUCCUUGUCGGGUAAGUUCCGACCCGCACGAAAGGCGUAACGAUCUGGGCACUGUCUCGGAGAGAGACUCGGCGAAAUAGGAUUGUCUGUGAAGAUACGGACUACCUGCACCUGGACAGAAAGACCCUAUGAAGCUUUACUGUAGCCUGGAAUUGGCUUCGGGCUUCGCUUGCGCAGGAUAGGUGGGAGGCGUUGACAUUCCCCUUGUGGGGGGAAUUGAGCCAACGGUGAGAUACCACUCUAGCGAGGCUAGAAGUCUAACUUUCGCCCAUUAUCUGGGGAAAGAACAGUUUCAGGUGGGCAGUUUGACUGGGGCGGUCGCCUCCUAAAUGGUAACGGAGGCGUACAAAGGUUUCCUCAGGCUGGUUGGAAAUCAGCCAUAGAGUGCAAAAGCAGAAGGAAGCUUGACUGCGAGACCUACAAGUCGAGCAGGGACGAAAGUCGGUUUUAGUGAUCCGACGGCGCCGCGUGGAAGGGCCGUUGCUCAACGGAUAAAAGUUACUCUAGGAUAACAGGCUGAUCUCCCCCAAGAGUCCACAUCGACGGGGAGGUUUGGCACCUCGAUGUCGGCUCAUCGCAACCUGGGGCGGAAGUACGUCCCAAGGGUUGGGCUGUUCGCCCAUUAAAGCGGUACGUGAGCUGGGUUCAGAACGUCGUGAGACAGUUCGGUCCAUAUCCGGUGCAGGCGCAAGAGCAUUGAGAGGAGCCUUCCUUAGUACGAGAGGACCGGGAAGGACGCACCACUGGUGUACCUGUUAUCGUGCCAACGGUAGACGCAGGGUAGCCAAGUGCGGAGUGGAUAACCGCCGAAAGCAUCUAAGUGGGAAGCCCACCUCAAGAUGAUCGCUCUCACAGGGUUAACCUGGUAAGGUCACGGGCAGAACACCCGUUAUUAGGCACUAGGUGGAAGUUCAGCAAUGAAUGU